UCUAUAUUGUGAGUUAGUUUCUGCAUAAAAAUAAGUUUUGAUUACAUUUCUAGCGAGAAAUAUAUAUUUUAUUUUCAUAAUAUGCACUCAGUGAAUUUACAUAAUCACUCGCUUGCUCGAUGUUACGCAGAUUUUUCAGAUCUCGCCAGAAUAAUGUAAAACUGAUACGUUUAGGUUGCUAUGGUCGCUGCCAGGGCUCGUCACAUGACGUCUUCUACAGACUAUAAUAAAUAAGAAUAAAUAGGAAGAGGCAACAAUAAAUGAUCUAUGCCAGCGCAAGUCAAUAUUUAUCUGGCCAGUCAACUGGUUUUUAAUUUAAAAAAUCCCUCGCAGUCUGAACUGCAACAGCACGGUCUGCGGUGAGUUAAACAACGUUCAACUGCAGGAUCAAUAGCAUUCAGCGGUGAGUUUAACAACCCUCAAAUGCGGUUAAAACAACAUUCAGAGGGAAGCUUUAUUUAAACCGCGUUCAACUGCAGAUAAAACAACAUUCAGAGGUGACUUUAACAACGCUCCACGGCGCGUGGGAGUAGCAUUUUAAGCGUUUUCUGAUCAUGUAGGUAAGUGCUUUGAUUAACUUUAGACGUGAUGCAUGCUGGGUGGCAAAUAUUUUUUAUCAAAGGCUCGUUGAUGGUAAUAAAUAUACAUAUAAAUAUACAUUUUACUAUAAUACGAUUGUUUUCGAUUAAUUAAUGGGUUGUUUAAUUAUUAAUUUGUUUAUUUUAAAUCCUGUAAUUUAACAACUCUGACGUCAUCGAAUGCGACGAUGCCAAGGUCCAUUGCGAUUUCCACUCGGUGCGAGCCAAGCCAAUUUUAUUUAUUGGGAAACAGGAUAAAAAGGCUUCGAAUAAGUGGGUUGCAUAUAUUAUUACCCAUUGGCACCCCACUCCUGUCACUACAAUUUUUUGGAGGAGAUGCGGAGGGCUUUAUCUUGACAAAAGCAACCUCCACAGGACAGCAGCCUGAGAGCCUUGCCAUGGAGCGGCCUGAGAGCCCUGCUGUGAAAUGGCCGGAGAACCUCACCAAGAAGUCUGAGGUUGCUGAAAAUGUAGAUGGCAGAAGGUUUCCUUUUCGAUAAAAUAACUGAGGAACAGAUAAAUGAGAGGAAAGCCGAAUUGAAAGUUCACUGGUUACGUGCUCUGUGUGUGGAAAAACUUGGGAUGACACAUAGGAGCCUGCCAGCGAAUUCCAACACAAGUCCCCACAUCCCAACCAGUUUUCAGCAUGACAGCCUACACCUUUACAUUAUCAAGCACCCUUCAACUGUUUAAUUUUGAGUGUCUUUGCUUGCUGUUCUUUAUUAAAGUUUUUGCACAGUA